UCUGCUGACCUCUACUGGCUUCCAGGGCUCAGAUGCUCUCAGCAUUUGCCAGGUUUCUCAUGGGCUGGCAUGUUUAUCCUAAUUGGCUUUUCUUCUCCAGCAUCUCUAGUUGUGAGAAAAUAGUUUUGUCUGAUAAGCACCUGGGAAGGGGGCACAUAUUAAAAAUGCUUUCAUUUCAGCAUCUGGCCAGCCAGAAUGUAAUAUCCCUGGCAGAUUGAUGGAUUCCUUUCAGGAGGGGUUUGGAGCUAAAUGAAAUGGAGUGAAAUCUGAUACUUUGAAGGAAGAGGCAUAUAUAGGCAACAUGUAAAUAACAGAAAAACUUUAAAUUCAGAGGCAAAUAUUUUAGUUAAUACUUAGAUUUUACCAGAUGAACGAUUAGCACCUUAAACUGAGGCUGGUUAGGAGUAAGCAGAAAAGGUAGCUGUCCAGGGUACAACACUCAGGUUAUCACCAUAAGAAAUUGUUUUUAAUUUGAUAUGUGUGCAUUGACUUUUAAUGGUCCAAAAGCUAGAUUUUUAUUUUCUCCUAAGUCAAAUUGUGUAUAUUGCAAGGAAGAGAUGUAGGGGAUUCCUACCAGGUUAAAAUGAGGGGAGUGGUCGGGAAGUAAGGAAAGGUUGCUAAAUCUCAGUUUCAACUUAGUUUCCUAAAGUCCUAGAAGGCGAAAAAGGCCAGGAUCAAUCAGGCUUGGCCUCUUUACCUCAUUCUCAUCUUGAGUUAAUAACAUGUUCUUUUGUGAUCAGGAUUAUUCAUAGGUCCUCCCAUUAACAAUGAGCUGCUAAACCUCAUGGCCAUUAGGUUUGGAGAUGGAGCUGGAAAAAUAUAUUUUGCAGACAUGAUUUGUUUCCUCAUUCGACUUCAAAUCAAGUCAAGGAAUUUUCAUAUGCUCUCAAAGGAUGGGAAAGGACUCUACUUGACUGAAACUGAGUGGAUCAAGCUCACCAUGUAUUGCUGAGAUGUUGAUCAAGCCUUACAGAGAAGAUACAAAGUUGACUUAGACUUCUUUCCAAAAAUAUGCAUCCUUUUGUUCACCUUCUCACCAAUGAUUAUAAAAUUCCUUCUCAGGGAGCAAUAGCAAACUAGCUGCCUAAGUCCACACAAUAAUCAUGUGGUUGGCUGGACCGCCACAAUGAGGAACCAAAGCUGCAGAUCUAGAACAAUAAUAAUGUACCCAUGUAAUAUGACAAAUUAUUUCAAAAUGAUUUGUUAACAGUUAUAAAUAAUUGGGGUUGAAAUUUUAGAGAUAUAUGAGUAAUAUAUGAAUCAAAGAAAAGGAAAUCUUUUCUUUUGCUCAUUAUCUGUCCGCCCCCUGCCACCUUCUAGACAAUCUCAGAAACUUUGCUGAUCUGCCAACCAUCUUCAUCUCUGGAAAUUCUGCCCUAGUGCUCCUAAUAAUCUGAGUGAGGCUUAUCUCUCCUAGCCCAGUAUUUUAAGAAAGCUUCAACCAUACUUCACUUCACUGCCUUCUCUCCAAUCAUAUUCUCAACAGUAUCACCAAGCAUCUUGUAGCUCUGGUACCCUCUCCAAUCUAUCACCUUUAGUCUGGAACCAUGAUUAAAUCACCUCUGCUUUUACUGCUAGAGAGAUAUAAAAAUCUGUUCCAUUAUGCCUCUAUCUAACAUCCCAGUAUAUUUCCUGAACAAAAUGUCCCUCCUUUUAUCACAGCCCUAUGUGUCUUGAUUACAUAUUAAAACGUAAACUUGAGAAAAGAAACUGUCUUAACUUGUGAAUUUGCAUUCCUAGUACCUAGCAUAUUGCAUUACUUAAUA